rnacentral:rRNA from 1 species
UACGGAGGGGGCUAGCGUUGUUCGGAAUUACUGGGCGUAAAGCGCGCGUAGGCGGAUCUGCAAGUCGGGGGUGAAAUCCCGAGGCUCAACCUCGGAACUGCCUUCGAUACUGCGGGUCUCGAGUCCGGGAGAGGUGAGUGGAAUUCCUAGUGUAGAGGUGAAAUUCGUAGAUAUUAGGAAGAACACCAGUGGCGAAGGCGGCUCACUGGACAGUUCCUGACGCUGAGGCACGAAGGUCAGGGGAGCAAACGGG